AUCUGCAUCAUAAUUUCAUUUUUAUAUUAAAUGUAAAUUCAGAUAUUUGGCUUUACAUUUUUAAAAUUUGAAGUAUUCGUGUUUACAUCCUAGCAUUGAUUAUGCCAUUGUAAUUUGAACUUUUUAGAUAAUCUCGUACAUACUUUUGUUGUUAAUGCAUGGAUCUAUAUUCAGUUCUGCAAUUUAUGUACCUUUUUUAGGGAAUCAAACUGACAUUAGUGUAAAAAUUAUGAUGGAUGAACUUGUAAUAUAUUCUGAUAGGAUUGACAUUCAAGUUUUACCAAAUUGUAGAUUUGUGAGAAUCAUGUUUCAGACUGGUUAUUAUUCCAGAUCUGCAAUAAGAUUUUGAAACUUUUGCCCAUGCAGAAAGUCAGCUAGUUGUACACAUUUGUUAACAUCUCUAUUCAUGAAAGCAGUGUAUGGCAAUAAUAAUCUGCAUUGUUAUGUUCUUAUUUCUUGUUACGAAAUAAUGAGAAAUCCAAUCUGUAAUAUCGUUUUGUAUACAUUAUUUCUGGUCAUAUCUAACAACACAUGGACGUCACAUUUCUGAACCAUACAUUGUAUUUUUUUAAAUCAUGAUUUGGCCCUGAUAUACAUUUAUUUGAAUAACAAAAAAAAUUAGAAGAUCUCUUUGUAUACUAUAUUCUUUGCGCUAUCUUCGCUUGGGCACUCCGUGUCGUCAAUCAGCACCUUUAAUCCUUCUCUGCUUGUGACUCUUGAUAGUGCCACAUAUAGUUGCCCAUGGCAGAAGACUUGCUUAGGCAAAUAUAGACCCACCUUGUUUAGGGAUUGACCUUGGCUUUUAUUUAUUGCCAUUGCAAAACAAACUGAUAGAGGAUAUUGCCUUCUUUUCAGCACGAAGGCCACUUUGAGUCGCUUGGUGACAUAAUGAUUUUAGGAGCAUCACCGGCAAACCUACCUUCAAUUUUAGCUCAUGGUUUGGAAUUCCUGGGAUGGUCAUGUUGUUAAGAAACUCUGUUGGACACAUAUUCUCCAUUGUGUUGUACUUCAUUGUUGCCUUGCAUACAUUGUCCAAGCUUAGGGUGUGCGUAGUAGAUUCUACCAAUAGCAAAGCCUCUUUUCCGCUCCUCCCAAGUUUUGGUGUCGCUUUUCCAUACAAAUUUUGAUGGGAAUUCUGCAUAGUCUCUCUACUAGUGGAUCACGAUGGUGUAGAUCAAACUAGAAUAUCCGCCAG